GUUCUCAGCACCCAUGGGUGCUCGGUGGUGGUCCCAUGGUUGGUGUCAUCUUGUUCUUGGCACCCAUGGGUGCUCUGGGGUGGGUUUCUGGUGGUGUCAUCUUGUUCUUGGCACCCAUGGGUGCUCUGGGGUGGGUUUGCAGUGUUGUGUCCUCCUCAGCACCCAUGGGUGCUCCAUGGUGGCCUUCAGGGUGCUUUUGAUGUCCUCUUUGGCACCCAUGGGUGCUCCCUGGUGGUCCCAUGGGUGGCGUCAUCUUGUUCUUGGCACCCAUGGGUGCUCCAUGGUGGCCUUCAGGGUGGUUUUGAUAUCCUCAGCACCCAUGGGUGCUCGGUGGUGGUCCCAUGGGUGGUGUCACGUUGUUCUCAGCACCCAUGGGUGCUCGUGGUGGUCUCAUGAGUUUCUGGGUGGUGCUGUGUCAUCCUUGGCACCCAUGGGUGCUCCGUGGUUGCCUUCCAGAUGGUGUUAUGUCCUCCUCGGCACCCAUGGGUGCUCGGUGGUGGUCCCAUGGGUGGUGUCAUCUUGUUCUUGGCACCCAUGGGUGCUUGGUGGUGGCCUUCUGGGUGGUUUUGAUGUCCUCAGCACCCAUGGGUGCUCAGCGGUGCCUGGAGGCAUUGGCCUGAGGGCUUUGUGGCCAAUGGGUGCUGCUGGUGACCCAUGGGUGCCCCCAUGACCCAUGGGUGCUCUUGGUGGUCAAUGGGUGCUCCCCAUGACCCAUGGGUGCUGCUGGUGGUCCCAUGGGUGCCCCCCCUGCCCAAGGCCUGACCCCGCUGCCUGUGGGCAUCUCCAGGACUUGCGCACCCGAAACACCUCGGGGUGCCCCGCAGCACCUUGGGGUGCCCCAAUAACACCCCCAAGGCGCCCCAUAGCACCCUUGGGUGCCCCAUAGCACCUUUGGGUGCCCUAUAACCACCUCAGGGCGCCCCCUACCACCCCUUAGACCACCCCCUACCACCUUGGGGCACCCCAUAACACCCUCAAGGCACCCUGUAGCACCUUUGGGUGCCCCAUAACACCCCUUAGACCACCCCCUACCACCUCAAGGUGCCCCAGAGCACCCUCAAGACACCCCA
rnacentral:lncRNA from 1 species